AAUCUGCAGGGGAAGCGACUCUUUGAUGAGCUCUGCAGACGGCUAUGAAAACCACGUCUCCAGCACCAUUCGCAUCGCACGCGGUGAAGAUUGGCGGACAAUUGCGAGGGCACUUCAGUGCUGCAUUGCGUCCUGUAGAGAGGAGUGCAGAAUUUUGUAAUUCCUUAGUGGCUAAAAUCGGAUUUGCUAUGUUGGAGAUGCGAAGAGGAUCUCGUUACAAUAGCAAGGGAGGGGGGAGUACACAAUCUCAUCGGAGAAUUAGGAUUCAGUCACUCUUGGCUUACAAACGCAGCUAGGGUUGUAUUCCAGCCAACAGACAGAAAAUUAAUGGACCCGAUUGGGCUUCGUCCGCGCUCGGUAGCGAGUGCCGACCCUUCCUAUUUGUGCCGGUUCUGUGAACACGGCGGAGCGUGUGCAAGAGCUCGAACAGGCACGCCUCGGUGUGGUAAUCUUCUGGUACCCUAAAUAGCAAGCAAAGUUGCGUCCAAUUCCUUCGUCAUUUACGCUACUGUCGUUGGGAUGGGGGGGUUCUUUCAACGGCGUUAAGGUUUUCCACGAAUGCCGCUUUCUCGGCCUCGAUGCGAGGCGUUAGUGAGGCAAGAAUCGAAUUCACUGAAAACUCCCAACGUCUGCAUUUUUCUUAUUCCAUCGCCAUGGCUCCGCAAGCGCCUCUUCCUCGUUCUCACAAACGUUGGACUCUGAAACUAGUUCAGAGCAAUUAGGGCUGGCGUCAUAUCAAUUUAUUAUUUUAUUUUUAUAACUUAAUUAUUUUAUAUUCUUUAAAAAAUACGUUGAUUCCAUUCAUGUGCAAGUAAUUUAAACCACGAAUCUAAACAUAGUAGUGAUUUGUGGUUUAAAUUACUUGUUGCAGAUUUCUUUAAAUAAAUGCAAUUGUAAUGUUAUGAUGACAUGGAAAUUUUGUAUUACAAUGUUCAGAGGAUGCAAAUUCAUAUAUAUAAAUAGUCAAAUGCAAUACAUUUCCAAUAUACUGGAAAUAUUGUUUACAUUCCAUCGUAUUUUUGUAA